GGAUCCGCGAGGCCGUCAAGACCCACAAGCUGGUGGAGCAGGAGCUGGCACACGCCAUCAACGCCAGCGCCACGGUGCUGACCGAGGCCAAGCCGUCCAGCCCUGAGUUUUGGAGUUGCAGCACAGCUGUGGAAAUUGUCAACAGCAGCAAAGUUCUCCAGGCUGACACAACCAUGCUUCUGGAUGGAAAACAUCUGGUAACCUCUCUCGCCACUAGCUGCUGCAACUUUUUGGCCAUCUGAUCCUCCUCAGUCCGAGUUCCCUGAGGAAGAGGGGCUCCGCUUAACCCUGAACAGCCUGAGUGCUGACCUCCACAAACUGGAUGACAUCCACUGGAUCUGUCCACUAAUGCACUGUGCUGAGGAGUGUCUACACGUUGCUUGCAUGCAGCAGAGUACAGAACAUCUUUUAGAAACGACACGAUGGAAACCGCCUUCAGACUGAAAUGAGACUUUUCGGGGACACCUUGUUUCUACAUCACGCAACCUUCAAUGGCACCAGAAGCCGAUGUGCAGAAAUCUUGGAUGUUGAACAGAAAAGAAAAACAUUGACUGUAUUUGUGUGUUGAGCUGUUAAUAAUACAACUGAUAAUAAUACUGAUAAUGAUGUGCACAUGCAAGGUGCUCAAGUGGUUUUGACUUUGUUUGGCUUGUCGUGACCUCAACUAAAGAGGUCAUGGGGGUGGUUCAUGAUCAGCUGAAUCGAGAUGUAAUGCACCAAUGUGAAUGUUUGCUUUGCCAGUAGUUCCCAAUUGUUCUUAUCGUCUUGCUCUCGUGGGAUUGCUGUCCAAUCCCCCACCACUCCCAGGUCCCCCCAACCAUCCCCCAGUGCGUUCAUAAACACGAUAGGAUCAAUGAAGAAAUCAAGUUGGCCAAAUGGGGAAAUUUGUCGUUUGCAUAAGCAUGUUUAGUCUAAGCUGAUGCUUGCUGUGAGGGGCAUACUAAAUGAUAGCGCGUGCAGGAACAUGCUUGUUUCCGCUCACGGUCGAGCAUUGCCAAGCUCCACUGUAGUCGGGUGCUGUUUCUGCAUCCAGUGUGCGCUGCUGCCUGUUUGCCUUCAUGGCUUUUGUGGUGUGCCAAGUAAAGCGACACACUCCAGUUGUCACGUACGUGGUUAGGGCGAAGGCGAGGAACGCAAGGCAAGAACAUGGUGGACCCAAUUGCAGGGAAGCAGGGAGGCAAGGCAGGAGUGCGGGAAUCUCAAAAAAUUUGCUUUAAUUCCAAAAACAAAGGAAAACAAAGAUAAUGAAAAAGUCUAAAUGCUAAAUUAACAAAGUCCAAAAUAUAAACACAAAGUAACAAAGAAACACUUGAGUGAACCCAAAACAAGAAACAAGACAUGACUGGUGAAAUACCUGAGCGACAAUGACAUGGCAAGACAUAUGACAACUGGCAACUAUGACAUGGCAAAGACGUGACAACGACAAUGAACCGACGAGAACUGAAAGAAACCAGGGAACUAAAUACAAACAAAUUGACGAGACAACGAGGAACACCUGGACAAGACACGAGUGGCUGGAGAGAGCUGAUUGGUCGACACAAAGUAGACGAGAACAGGUGGACACAACAACCUAAUGAGCACACGACAAACAUGGAACACAGGAAAACACAACCCAAACCAAAACACAGACCAUGACACCAGUGGUGUGUGCAAUGUGGCGUUCAUUUCAAGUUUACUGUGUCUGGGCUCGCACUUUACAGACUCCUUGAUGGGGGAAAUGUGCGUGUACAUGCGUUUAUGUCAAAUUAGGUGAAGAAUAUGAAUUUGUAUUUGUGAUGAACUAUUAAAUAUGUAAUGUAAAAAUGCACGCCCAUCGAUGUGAUCCAUGGCUGUGGCGUUCCUGCUCCCGCGUCCACUGAUGGGCUGGGCCAAUGUGUUACCAUGGUAACCACGUUAUCCAUUUGAAGCUUAAAGCCAAAGCUUAAGUCGACUCAUGAAUCACUUAUUGAUGAAGAUAAAAUGUUUGUGCACAAUGUGUAACUUUUUGAAAUUGUAUCAUCAACUUGUUCUGAAUAUAUGAUUGCAACGUGUAUAUGGGUUUUAAAAAGAAAGCUCAUGUAUAUUUAAUUUGAUCAAUGAAUGUUUGAACGUAAUUUAAUGGGGUUAACAAGGAUUCCGCAAUGCCGGGUGUUUGCACGAGUGUGUGCUUGUUGCCAGUUUUUCCGUCAUGUAACAAAGAUAAGCUUUGGAAAUUAAAAUGACUUGAUGGUGUGAUAAAUGUGCGUCUGCUGCUGCUUCCAACGUGUCUCUCUUAAAAGUAAGUUUUAUUAAUACCUGCAUGUAAGUUUGUACGGUUUGUAUGAAAAUGCUUGCCGCCGCUUCUCCUUACAUACAUUGUGACCAACAAAGCUGACACAAUAUGAAGUUGUCAUUUCUCUUAAUUGUUGAUUAUUGAAAUGUUUAGAGUGAGGAGCUAUAAAGGUGCUCUGUAAUAAACAGAAUCUGCCUCUUUUCCCAACACAACUCUGCUUCCAGCUGGACUAUUGCAUGA